rnacentral:lncRNA from 1 species
CUCAGACAAAAGUCUCUUUUGUUACGCUGUCCUGACCGUGACCCGAGGGGAGUGAGUGUGCCCACUGCACAUGUUCAGGUUGCGGCCGGGGUAGUGCACCCACCUGCUCUUUCAGCUCAGCCAGCUGGCUGGAGAGCUGUUUCACAAGGCUCAUGGUUGACUCCAGCCUCUCCUGCAGGUUCCUGAUCUCGUUUUGCUCGCUGUCGCCUUCAUUGCUGACCAGAGACAUGGCUCUCAUCCGAGGGAACCAGUCCAAAUUCUUCUCCACAAUCAUUUGUGCCACAUAGCUCUCUGGACCAGUGUAUUCUGUUGGAUCUUUCACUUUGACGAGAACUAUAAAGUACAAAUAAUGCCACAUGUUGUGUUCUGACUUUAUAUGCUCCUCAAAUGAAACUGUCUUGUUAUCAAAUUUGUCUCUCUCCAGUCCACAGAUGAAACAUGUUGUCUUCAGUAUUUCCUCCUUUUUCUGCUUUUCG